rnacentral:lncRNA from 1 species
GGGGAAACGCAGUAGGAGGAGUGACGGGAACCGGGAGCCGGCUCCAUGCGCCUGGAGCGCGCGGGUCCCAGCGCCCAUCGGCCCGGGGUCCGAGGGGCCCGCUGCCCGGGCUCGCUGCGUGGUGCUACCGCCCCCGGGCCCGCUGCGCCGCGUCGGAGCCCCAGCAGACUUUGAGAGGCGUGUGCGACAGUGCGCGUCCUCUCCUGCCUCUGGAUGUUUCCUUGGAGCCUCUGGCCUUCGGGAAGACCGCCUGAUGGCCUGGUGUUGGGCCUGAUCACCCCAAAAUUUCAGGCACCCAACGUGGGGCUAUGAAGACCAUGGUAAAGAAAUGCUAGAGUAUAUGGAAAUGAAGGACAUAUCAUCAAAGGACACCCGAGGAUGGCUGAAAGAAGCUUGGUGGGUAAGCUGGGCACUCUGAAGAACCAAGUGCCACUGGGUUAGAGUCUCCCCGACCAAGCUGGUCUCAGCAAGUGGUCUCCAUCAUGGGGGCUCGAAUCCAGGUUGAAGGGUCACCAGAGUGAUGGUUGGAGAACAUGGAACUAGCUGGAGGACACCUGAGUACUCUUAAAGCAAACCCCGUGUUAAUUGAAAAUGCUCAGUUACGAUUUCAUACAGAUGAACAACUGAAGACAAAAACAACAAAGGGGGAGAAAGAGGGAUUAUGGGACAGCCCAUAUACAAUUGAAUCUAGCAUUAUUAACUUUAAAUUUUUUGAGUCUGCCUAAAGGCCAGAUGUUAUCAGCAGCUGAACAGCAUUUACAGAAACCGGCUGCAAAGACAGAAGCAGAACAACUGGUUUGGUGGAGAGAUCCGAUAACAAAAAGUUGGGAAAUAGGUAAAAUAAUAACUUGGGGUAGAGGUUAUGUUUGUGUUUCUCCAGGCCAAAAUCAAUAACCAAUUUGGAUACCAUCAAGACACCUGAAACCUUAUCAUGAGCCAGAUGCUGAGGAAGAGAUUCCAGGAGGAUCCUGAGGACCCCCUGGUUGCAGCCACGUCGAGGCUGACACUGAGGAGGACCCCAACUGUCAUGAGCAACACCCGUCGAACACAGCCAUCCACCUGGGGACAAAUCAAGAAGCUGUCACAGAUGAUGGAAGAAAACCUGAGGAAAGCGGGACAACCAAUCACAAUGAGUAAUUUGGUGAUCUAUCACAGUGAUGAUCACCAUUGCCAUGAGUAUUCCUUCAACAAGGGCUGACACAGAGAACAAUUAUACUUAUUGGGCAUAUUUAUCAAUCUUGUCUGGCAAUAAUGCCUAGAUGAUUUCACUCUAUGGCACAGUUACACAUGCUUUCUGAUCUCAGUAUUUACCAUAAUAAAUCUGCUCCUAUAAUUGAGGCAUACCACCCUCAAAAACCUAUUUGUAAACAAAAUAGAACCUGGCCAGAAAUAAUGAACAACUUGUUUAGUAAGAUUGCAUUGCAGAACAGGCAGAGAUGCUACGCAAUGAUUCCUAUGGGAUCAUUGAUUGGUCCCCUAAGGGGAUGUUUAGCUUAAAUUGCACCUCUCAGUCUGCAUGCCAUGGCCACACUAGUUCAGAUGGUCUGAACAAAGUGGUCAGAUGGCAGAAAUGAUAAGAAGUAUGGCAAAAGUUCCUAUUGUCUGGAACCAUGGCAGUAUAGUGUCACCUCAACCUCAAAUGAUAUGGCUCAUUGUAGGAGCUAAACAUAAGGAUUUGUGGAAACUAUUAAUAGCUCUUAAUAAGAUCAAAAUUUGGGAAAGAAUAAAAAAAGCAUCUAGAAAGACACUCUACAAACUUGUCUUUGGAUAUUACAAAAUUAAAAGAACAAAUAUUUAAAGCAUCCCAGGUACACCUGACCUUAAUGACAGAAACUGGAGUGCUUGAAGGAGCUGCAGACAGAUUAGCAGCUAGUAACCCAUUAAAAUGGAUAAAAACACUUGGAAGCUCUGUGAUUUCAAUGAUGAUUGUGCUUUUAAUCGGUAUUGUUUGUCUUUGUAUAGUGUGCAGAUGUGGAUCCUGACUCCUGUGAGAAGUAGCUCACAGUGUCAAAGCUGCCUUUGCUUUUAUCGAUUUGCAAAUCAAAUAAGGGGGACAUAUUGGGAACAGCACCCCCCCCCCCAAAAUCUGGCCAUAAACUGGUCCCAAAACUGGCCAUAAACAAAAUCUCUGCAGCACUGACAUGUUCAUGAUGGUCUUAAUGCCCACGCUGGAAGGUUGUGGGUUUACCAGAAUGAGAGCAAGGAACACCUGGCCCACCCAGGGUGGAAAACCACUUAAAGGCAUUCUUAAACCACAAACAAUAGCAUGAGUGAUCUGUGCCUUAAGGCUGUGCUACUGCUGCAGAUAACUAGCCCAACCCAUCCCUUUAUUUCAGCCCAUCCCUUCGUUUCCCAUAAGGGAUACUUUUAAUUAAUCUAAUAUGUAUAGAAAGAAUGCUAAUGACUGGCUUGCUGUUAAUAAAUAACGUGGGUAAAUCUCUGUUGGAGGCUCUCAGCUCUGAAGGCUGUGAGACCCCGGAUUUCCCACUUCAC